rnacentral:rRNA from 1 species
AUGUGGGUCGUGGCGGCGCACCACGCGGCGGUAAACUUCGAGCUUCACUCUCCUGACGAGGAGUACCUCGGAGGGAUGGAGAGUGCACCGUGGGGUGACGACACCAUAAUGCAGGCGGCAUACCUAAGGUUCAGCGAGUGUCUUAAGGAGGUGGACGGGAUCAUCGACAUAAGGAACAAGGAGAGGAAGCUCAAGAACCGGUGCCGCGCCUGCAUCAUGCCGUACCAGCUCAUGAAACCAUUCUCCUAG